CAAUAGCGUAUAUUAAAGUUGUUGCGGUUAAAAAGCUCGUAGUUGGAUUUCUGCUGAGAACGACCGGUCCGCCCUUUGGGUGUGUAUCUAGCUCUUUCUUGGCAUCUUCUUGGUGAACGUUGCUGCACUUGACUGUGUGGAGCGCUACCCAGGACUUUUACUUUGAGGAAAUUAGAGUGUUUCAAGCAGGCAUACGCCUUGAAUACAUUAGCAUGGAAUAAUAAGAUAGGACCUCGGUUCUAUUUUGUUGGUUUCUAGAGCUGAGGUAAUGAUUAAUAGGGAUAGUUGGGGCAUUCGUAUUUAACUGUCAGAGGUGAAAUUCUUGGAUUUGUUAAAGACGGACUACUGCGAANGNAUUUGCNAAGGAUGUUUNCAUUG
rnacentral:rRNA from 1 species